UCCUACGGGGGGCAGCAGUAGGGAAUUUUCGUCAAUGGGCGCAAGCCUGAACGAGCAAUGCCGCGUGAACGAGGAAGGUCUUCGGAUCGUAAAGUUCUGUUGAAGGGGAAAAAGAGCGGAGAGAGGAAAUGGUCUCCGAUCGAUAUUACCCUUCGAGGAAGUCACGGCUAACUACGUGCCAGCAGCCGCGGUAAUACGUAGGUGGCGAGCGUUAUCCGGAAUGAUUGGGCGUAAAGGGUGCGUAGGCGGCCUGCUAAGUCUGGAGUGAAAGGUACCGGCUCAACCGGUACAGGCUCUGGAAACUG
rnacentral:rRNA from 1 species